GACGAACGCUGGCGGCGUGCCUAAUACAUGCAAGUAGAACGCUGAAGGAGGAGCUUGCUUCUCUGGAUGAGUUGCGAACGGGUGAGUAACGCGUAGGUAACCUGCCUGGUAGCGGGGGAUAACUAUUGGAAACGAUAGCUAAUACCGCAUAAGAGUAGAUGUUGCAUGACAUUUGCUUAAAAGGUGCACUUGCAUCACUACCAGAUGGACCUGCGUUGUAUUAGCUAGUUGGUGGGGUAACGGCUCACCAAGGCGACGAUACAUAGCCGACCUGAGAGGGUGAUCGGCAACACUGGGACUGAGACACGGCCCAGACUCCUACGGGAGGCAGCAGUAGGGAAUCUUCGGCAAUGGACGGAAGUCUGACCGAGCAACGCCGCGUGAGUGAAGAAGGUUUUCGGAUCGUAAAGCUCUGUUGUAAGAGAAGAACGAGUGUGAGAGUGGAAAGUUCACACUGUGACGGUAUCUGACCAGAAAGGGACGGCUAACUACGUG
rnacentral:rRNA from 1 species